rnacentral:rRNA from 1 species
UAGGGAAUCUUCGGCACUGGACGAAAGUCUGACCGAGCAACGCCGCGUGAGUGAAGAAGGUUUUCGGAUCGUAAAACUCUGUUGUUAGAGAAGAACAAGGACGUUAGUAACUGAACGUCCCCUGACGGUAUCUAACCAGAAAGCCACGGCUAACUACGUGCCAGCAGCCGCGGUAAUACGUAGGUGGCAAGCGUUGUCCGGAUUUAUUGGGCGUAAAGCGAGCGCAGGCGGUUUCUUAAGUCUGAUGUGAAAGCCCCCGGCUCAACCGGGGAGGGUCAUUGGAAACUGGGAGACUUGAGUGCAGAAGAGGAGAGUGGAAUUCCAUGUGUAGCGGUGAGAUGCGUAGAUAUAUGGAGGAAGACCAGUGGCGAAGGCGGCUCUCUGGUCUGUAACUGACGCUGAGGCUGGAAAGCGUGGGGAGCAAACAGG